AAGACAAGCGUGUGCGCGAGUCAUUGGGUGUAAACCUAAAGGCGCAAUGAAAGUGUCAGGGGGGCCUCCUUUAGGAGAGCUUCCCGCAGGGAGGAUGGGCCGCCGUACAAUUAUUUGUCGGAGCUCCGCACUCCCGGGGCGUCUCGUUCUCAUUACGAGUGGAGACGCACCAGGAGCGCACACGCUGGUACCCGAAAGAUGGUGAACUAUGCCUGGCCAGGACGAAGCCAGGGGAAACCCUGGUGGAGGUCCGAAGCGAUUCUGACGUGCAAAUCGAUCGUCUGAGCUGGGUAUAGGGGCGAAAGACCAAUCGAACCAUCUAGUAGCUGGUUCCUUCCGAA
rnacentral:rRNA from 1 species